rnacentral:tRNA from 2 species
GUCACGAUUGAAUAAGAAGUUCCCUGGUGUGAUUUAUACCGGAGUGUUGGUUCAAGUCCAGCUCGUGACG